rfam:Tupaia chinensis contig114102, whole genome shotgun sequence.
UAGUGAGAUCGAUUUGUAGUUUUAUCGAUUUAUCUGCUUAGUAGGUAAAUGGGACUGUCAGUCUGGUAGUUUGCAUCAGCAACAAAUCGUUACUAGAUAUUUUAUUUAAAAAUGGGCACUGGCUUGGGAAAGAUUGUCAAUUCUUUUUUUUUUUUCCUUUUAUUAAAUUUUUUGUUGUGGUUGAGGCUAGACACAAUCAUAACACAUGGGCUGCCUGGAAAC